GAGGGUAUAGCUCAGUGGUAGAGCGUGUGCUUAGCAUGCACGAGGCCCUGGGUUCAAUCCCCAGUACCUCUG
rnacentral:tRNA from 1 species